UGGCGGCGUGCUUAAUACAUGCCAGUCGUGCGAGAAAGUCACCUUCGGGUGGUGAGUAACGCGGCGAACUGGGUGAAUAACACGUAAUAAACCUGCCCCUAAAUCCUGGAAUAACAUUGCUAACGCGGUGCUAAUACCGGAUGUGGUCUCCAGUUUGCAUGAACAGGAGAUAAAAGGUGACCUCUACUUGUAAGUUAUCGGUGAGGGAUGGUCUUGCGGACCAUUAGCUUGUUGGCGGGGUAACGGGCCACCAAGGCUGCGAUGGUUAGCCUGCUUAAGAGGGUGAUCGGCCACAUUGCGUGCACUGAGAUACGGCCCAGACUCCUACGGGAGGCAACAAUAGGGAAUUUUGCGCAAUGGACGAAAGUCUGACGCAUCAACGCCGCGUGAGCGAUGAAGGUUUUCGGAUUGUAAAGCUCUGUAGAGUGGGAAUAAAACUCUCCGGGAUAAUACCCCGGAGACUUGACGGUACCACUCGAGGAAGCCCCGGCUAAAUACGUGCCAGCAGCCGCGGUAAUACGUAUGGGGCAAGCGUAGUUCGGAAUCACUGGGCGUAAAGGGAGUGUAGGCGGAAAGGUAAGUUAGAAGUGUAAUCCACGGGCUUAAGCCGUGACUCGCUUUUAAUACUGCUUUUCUUGAGUAUGGGAGAGGGAGAUGGAAUUCCAGGUGUAGCGGUGGAAUGCGUAGAUAUCUGGAAGAACACCAGUAUCGAAGCCGGUCUCAUGGCCCAAUACUGACGCUGAGGCUCGAAAGCGUGGGGAGCGAACAGGAUUAGAUACCCUGGUAGUCGACGCCGUAAACGAUGGACACUAGAUGUUGGCCUCUUCGGGGCUCGGUGUCGUAGCUAACGCGUUAAGUGUCCCGCCUGGGAAGUACGCUCGCAAGAGUGAAACUCAAAGGAAUUGACGAGGGCCCGCACAAGCGGUGGAGCAUGUGCUUUAAUUCGAUGCAACGCGAAGAACCUUACCUGGACUUGACAUGGGGGUGAAAGUUUUCAGAGAUGUAAACCCUUCCUUCGGGAACGCCCUACACAGGUGCUGCAUGGCCGUCGUCAGCUCGUGUCGUGAGAUGCUGGGUUAAGUCCCGCAACGAGCGCAACCCUUGUCCUUAGUUGCCAGCGGGUCAUGCCGGGAACUCUAGGGAGACUGCCUGGUACAACCAGGAGGAAGGUGGGGAUGACGUCAAAUCAUCAUGGCCUUUACGUCCAGGGAUAGACACGUGCUACAAUGACCGGUACAGAGGGCUGCAAGAC
rnacentral:rRNA from 1 species